rnacentral:rRNA from 1 species
CGCGGUAUACGGAGGGUGCAAGCGUUGUCCGGAAUCAUUGGGUGUAAAGGGUGCGUAGGCUGGUGUCUAAGUCUGGGGUGAAAUUUUGCCGCUUAACGGUAACAUGGCCUUGGAUACUGGAUGCCUUGAAUCUGACAGAGGUCGGUGGAAUUCGUAGUGUAGCGGUGAAAUGCAUAGAUAUUACGAAGAACACCAGUGGCGAAGGCGGCCGGCUGGGUCAGUAUUGACGCUGAGGCACGAGAGCGUGGGGAGCGAACAGGAUUAGAUACCCUGGUAGUCCACGCUGUAAACGAUGUAUGCUAGUUGUUGGGCCUUUGGGUUCAGUGACGCAGUUAACGCAGUAAGCAUACCACCUGGGGAGUACGUUCGCAAGAAUGAAACUCAAAGGAAUUGACGGGGGCCCGCACAAGCGGUGGAGCAUGUGGCUUAAUUCGAUGCAACGCGAAGAACCUUACCCGGGCUAAAUCCUGAUUUGAUACCCCGAAACGGGUAGUUCUCUUCGGAGCGGUCAGGAAGGUGCUGCAUGGCUGUCGUCAGCUCGUGCCGUGAGGUGUUGCCUUAAGUGGCGCAACGAGCGCAACCCCUAUGGUUAGUUACCAGCACGUAAUGGUGGGGACUCUAGCCAGACUGCCUACGCAAGUAGUGAGGAAGGUGGGGACGACGUCAAGUCAUCAUGGCCCUUAUGUCCGGGGCUGCACACGUGCUACAAUGGACGGUACAGAGGGAAGCCACCCAGCGAUGGGGCGCAGAUCUCGAAAGCCGUUCCCAGUUCGGAUUGGAGUCUGCAACUCGACUCCAUGAAGGUGGAAUCGCUAGUAAUCGCGUAUCAGCAACGACGCGGUGAAUACGUUCCCGGGCCUUGUACACACCGCCCGUCAAGCGAUGGAAGUCAGGAGUACCUGAUGUCGCCGUGCCAACCCUUCGGGGAAGCAGGUGCCUAGGGUAAGCUUGGUAACUGGCGCUAAGUCGUAACAAGGUAGCCGUACCGGAAGGUGCGGCUG